UCAAUUUUUGCUUCGGAAAAUCAUGUGGUGGCCGAAAUUACUACGGCAAAGCAUGCCGUCAUCAAUGAUCCGAUAUUUGCUUCGAAAAAAUGUGCGGUCGCCCAAAAUUGCUUUGGCAACAGAACACCGUCGCAAUAAUUGGCGACUACCUGUGGUUUCCGUAGCCUUAAGCACCAGCCCUAGAUAUUAUAUUUGACAAGGAAAAAAAUAGACAUCGAUCAAUUUACUUAACUCUUGUGAGCCCUCUUAUUCUCUUUAUCAAUUUCGCCGUCGAUUUCAAUAAUCUUGAGAAGCCAUCGCCACCACCAAGAUCUCUCUCACUAUCGCUGCCAGUGUCAGUGCCAAGAAAGAUAAAGAGCCUCCUUCUUCUAUUGGAGAUGCCUCCGAUAAGGUAAAGAAGUAUUCAAUUUGCCAAAACUUCAGUAUCUGUACGUGUACUCAAGUAUGUAUGAGUGAUUUUCUGUAUGUAAUUAAACUUAAAAAUAUUAAAGUUUCAGUCUUUUCAAACUCUUAAACAAUCAUGUACCUAUAGUUUACCCUUACAUCACCUCAAAGCACCUUCUAAUCUACCUUACUUAAAAUGGUAUGUUUUCUAGGAUAUUGUUUUAAACUGCUCUUCCUCUGUAGUGUUUAAACUGCUCAUCCUCAUAAAUUUGGGUCUCAUUCAUUUUUCGUGUUCCUUCAGGAUUACUCACGUUUCUUGUUAGAGGUGGCAAACGGGCCUAGUCGUGCUUCGUGCCGUGCUUGGGCCGGUGUUGAGUCACAAAUUACUUAUGCAAUUGUGCCCCAUAAUUAUGAAAAUUGAUUUGUCUUCCAUGCUAUUUUGCCUUUUUUUAAUCCAUUUCCUUUUAUUUGUAGGAAACCUUGCAUUAAGAAUAAAAUGACUAUUUGAGGCUUGAAAUGCGGAGAUUUGAAGCUAGGGGAAGAAGACACGAAGAUUGGAAGAAAAUUGCAAAUUGACUUUUCCGGCGAUUUUUCCGGCAAACUUUUCCGGCGAGCCGCCACUCAUGGAGGGUCUUUUCUCCAGCAAAGGAGGACCAUGGUGGUGAGAAUCUCCCAUCACUUGAAAUUCAAAUAUCUCCCUUCACCUUGUCCUUUUGUCACCUUGCCAAUUUGGAACCAUUUGGGGGACAAUGGUGUAAGAGCAUCUCUUGCACACUUUGGGACCAUAGAGGACACACAUAGCUGAUCAAAGAGAGGCAAUAGACCAAUUCUUUACCAUUCUUGACUCCAUUCAAUCAUCUUCAUCCUAUCCAAUAUCCAUUUUCUCUCUAGGGAAGAAACCACCAUUUCCACCACUAAAACCACCAUCUCCACCUCUAUAACCUCCAUUUCCACCACUACAACCUCCAUUUCCUCCACCACUCAACACCACAACUCACCUUAGAGAUCCCAAAUUUCACUAUUCUUACCAAUAUCAAGAGCUUGGAGCAAGGAGAAGGAGGUGACUACCACCACAUCAUGUUCUUGGAGACCCAUCUCCACCACAUCUUCCGGCAUCAUCAAUAGUCACCCUUUACUCUCUAUCUCUUUAUGUAUUUGAUGUUUAAUAGAAUGUUGAAGCUUGUGUAUCUAAAUAUGUGUGAGUAGUGAACUAGUUGGGGCUAGGGUUGAAAGCCCUAGCCAAACUUGCUUGUAUUGAUGCUUUUGUUUAUAAAUUGAUGCAAAUUCA